UUCUUCUGGUCACCACCUUGCCCCUACCCCUACUACCAUAACUUUCAACAGCAUUAUACAUUCUUUUAGAUCCAGCAAUUUCACUUCUAGGAAUUUGUCCUGAAGUAAAAAUUAAGAUUGAGUUUAAAACCUUAGCUCAAGAAUGUUUAUUUAUAUAUACAAGACACACAAUAUGUGAUCCUUCCAUACUAUUGAGCUAAGUAAAUGAAUUUAAGUAUUAAAAUGAUUCUGCAGAAAAAUACUUAGUAACAUAAGGAUGUCAAAAAUAUAAAUUAUGCAAACAGUUUACAGAGGAUAUAUAUCUCAUGUGGUAGGUCAGUGGGGCUGAGCACUGCGAGUGUGUUUUGUGCACAGGUAGAUAUUCUUCAGAAAAUGGUUUGGAAGGACUGAACACAGGAGCACCUGCAGAUAGCUCUGGGUGGAAGAAUACAGGAAAAUUGUUAUUUUCUUCAUUUUCUUAUUUGUUUUCUAGUUUUGCUACAGUAGGUAAAGCUAUCUUCUAAUGCAUAAUUUGCAUUGAAAUUUCUUGAGUCCAAAAUGUGUUUUUACAGCUGGUAUCUUCAACUAGAAUCAAAUAAUGUCUCUGUGUUACAUUUGAUUCUUAGUGUGACACAUUUGAUUCUAAGGUUAUUUAUUUAUUUAUUUUUGAGAUGGAGUCUUGCUUUGCUGCCCAGGCUGGAGUGCAGUGGCAUGAACUUGGCUCACUGCAACCUCUGCCUCCUGGGUUCAAGCGAUUCUCCAGCCUUGGCCUCCUGAGUAGCUGGGAUCACAGGCAGGCGGAUAAUUUGAGGUCAGGAGUUCGAGACCAGCCUGGCCAACAUGGUGAAAUCCCAUCUCUACUAAAAACAC
rnacentral:lncRNA from 10 species